rnacentral:rRNA from 1 species
AUUGAACGCUGGCGGCAUGCCUUACACAUGCAAGUCGAACGGUAACAGGUCUUCGGAUGCUGACGAGUGGCGAACGGGUGAGUAAUACAUCGGAACGUGCCUAGUAGUGGGGGAUAACUACUCGAAAGAGUGACUAAUACCGCAUGAGAUCUACGGAUGAAAGCAGGGGAUCGCAAGACCUUGCGCUACUAGAGCGGCCGAUGGCAGAUUAGGUAGUUGGUGGGAUAAAAGCUUACCAAGCCGACGAUCUGUAGCUGGUCUGAGAGGACGAUCAGCCACACUGGGACUGAGACACGGCCCAGACUCCUACGGGAGGCAGCAGUGGGGAAUUUUGGACAAUGGGCGCAAGCCUGAUCCAGCAAUGCCGCGUGCAGGAUGAAGGCCUUCGGGUUGUAAACUGCUUUUGUACGGAACGAAAAGCCCUGGGUUAAUACCCUGGGGUCAUGACGGUACCGUAAGAAUAAGCACCGGCUAACUACGUGCCAGCAGCCGCCGUAACAC